CUCUUUAGUAGAAAAGUUAACAUGGUUUGAACAAUAAUAUAUAUACUUAUAUUACAUAACUUUCUAAAAUCCGCGCAAAUAUAUUUUUUAUUGUUAAUUAAGUUUUGCGUGUUUAAUUUCAUUUAAUAUUUUUUAUACAGUCCAGUCAGUUGUAACAACAUUUAAAGCUGGAGGAAACAGCCAAGUACACAUGUAUGUGUUGCAACGUUAUUCUAGCAUGGCAAUAAUUGCCUAUUUGACUUCCUUGUGUUUCACUAUAAAAAAGUCAUUUUUCAAAUAUAAGCCAUAAGUAUAGUAAAAGUUGACAACAUCACAAAAAAAUGAAUAAAUCAUUAGAAGAGCCAUAUUGUUGGGCUAUUUGGAAUGAAAAUGAAGAUGAAGAUACCUCCGGUAUUAUUCCAUCCAAUUGGUUAGUUCCUGGAAGCCAUAUAUUUUGGCCACCUAAUAAUUAUUUUCAAGUCAAACAUGCAUUUCAUGAAAGAAGAGAUCCUGAUCAUUCAUGGAAAAAAUUUACACUAAUUAAGUAAUAUAUGACUUCUGUAUUGAAAUGUGCAGCACAGAUGUUGGGUGGUUUUCUACAGAUGGUGAAAGUGUCUCACCAAUAAAAAAAACAAAUGACAGUCAAAAUACUCUAUCAUAUCCUUCUCCACCAUCUAGAAUUAAAGAGAAACAAAUAUGGAGUGUGAAAAAGAAUGAAAUAUCACCAAGUGUAAUUGAAAAAAAUUGGCAAAAUCAAAAAGAGCCUUUUUUUCCAGCAAUGAAACUGAAAAACAAGUAACGAUUAUUUAAAAGUUAAUUAUUUUGUAUAAUUAUAUUUGGUGUGGUUACGAGCUAAAAAUCCUACUGUCAUCUAAAUCGACUAAUAUAUUUUAAAAAGUCUACUGAAAUUAGUUAAUACAAUUUCUAAAUUGAUAUAAGUUGAUUUAGUUUAAAUAUUUCAAAAAAAAAAUUUAUUUAAUCUAAAUUAUUGCAAAAUAAAUUGUAAUAAAAAUAAUCAAGUCGUUUUUAACUUUUAAUUAUAUAUAUUUAAACAAUUUAUUAAUUAUAUAUAUAUUUUUUUCAUGUUUACAAUCAUUAAUUGUUAAAGGUAUGUAAAUUCAAUUUAACAAAAUAAACAACGUAUGUGAAUGAAGAUCUUGAAGAUCUUGUUAAAAUUUUCAAUAGUUUAAAUAAAUGUAUUUUUUAUUGAUUUUUCGAAUAACAACUUUUAUAAAAAAAUAUUGUAUUUUAAUUAUAUUACAGUUAUAUAUUAAGUUAAAUCAAAUAUAAAUAUGUAUUUAUAUAGUUGAUAAAGUUAAAUCAAAUAAAAAAAUCGAAAUAAGAAUGUUAGGAUAAUUACCCGACUAAAGCAAUUUUUAGUCAAAUAGUAAUAAAUCUGGAGUUGAUUUACUCGACUAAUUUUGACUUUUGACUGAUUGACUUAUAGUUGAUUUAUUCGAAGGCAAUAACAACACUAGUAGCGCUGUUAAGUAGUUUUUUUAUUUUAUUCUUUAAAGUUUCUAAUGUUAUGAACAUAAUCAAUAUAAUGUUAUGCUAUGAAUUUCUUUUAUUUUUUUUAUUAAUUACUUUUAUUAUUAAUGCUUUUGACUAGAAAAUAUGCAAACUGUAGAAAAGCAAUAUAUGGUCAGAUGAUGAAGAGGUUCAUUUUGAGGAGACCUCUGGAAGUUCACAAGUCCAAAACUAUUCUGAGAAAGAACAAUUAACUAAUAGUCGGUAUAUAAGAAAAGAUGCAGCUAUGUUACCAAUUAAAGGGUUUCCUUUAACUGAGUCAGAAUUUCAAGCAAAAGUAAUGAAAUACUUGAUCAAACAAGGUCAAAGGCUUGAAAGUAUUGAGAAAAUUUUAAUUAAUUUAACAUCUUCAACAGUUGGAGUACUAAAGAAGUAUCCCCAGUAUGUGAUUUGACUGAGUUACACAAUUUAGAGAAGAAAAUAGAAGAUGAAGAAGAAUUUAAUAAACUAGUUUUAUCACUCUCUGCUGCUGGGGGUAAAGAUGUUAAAGAUGUUGUGAAGAAUAUUAUGGAAAAUGUGACUACGUAUGAUGUGUUGGCCAAGUUUAAUUUUCGGGGAACUAAUCGCCUCGAAAAAAAUAAAGAGCCAAGACCAAGUGCAGCAAUGAAAGAUAGAAAGUUUUUUAAAGAAGAAGGGAUAAAGUGUGUAAAAGAAAUUUUACGUUAUGCUCCAGACAAGGCCACAGGUGGAAGGCGGUUUUCUGUAUAAAACUUUAAAAUUAUAAAAGCAUAAAAUGUAAAUUACUUGUUAACUUAAAAAUUAUAUUAUAUAUUAUAAUGUCAAAACUA
rnacentral:misc_RNA from 1 species